rnacentral:rRNA from 1 species
UGCUGCUGUUAAAAAGCUCGUAGUUGGAUCAAGAAUACAACAGUGCAAGGUGGCCUCGUGUGUGUCCGUGGCUCCGUGUCGCCGGCACGGCGGCGGAUCAACCCCUCUGCAUUAAUACUGUUUGUCUCUAGAACAGGCCGAAAGUCGGUUCCCUGUGAGUAGGCCACUUCAUUGGGGCUGAAAGCGAUUACUGCAUCUACCAUCAUGCAUACGGGACGUCAGGCCAAUGUUACUGUGAACAAACCAGCGUGUCCAAAGCAGGCUUUCGACCCGAAUGUUCGAGCAUGGAAUAACAAGGGAUCGAUUCUCUCGGUUCUUUAUGUUGGUUUUAAACCCGAGAAGGAGUAAUUCAGGCCACGAGUGUCUGGGCCGGGUUCCCCUAGGCUUCGGCUGUAUGGCCCCAGUAUAGGCCGUGUUCUUACGGGAUAAAUAGGGACUGACGGGGUCGUACGUACUUCCACGUCAGAGGUGAAAUUCUUAGAUCGUGGGAAGACGAACUUCUGCGAAAGCAUUCGACAAGAAUGUCUUCAUUAAUCAGGAACGAGAGUGUGGGGAUCGAAGAUGAUCAGAUACCGUCGUAGUCCACUACUGCAAACAAUGCCGUCUCAGGAUUGAGAAGUGAACAGAAUGACUUUCACAGCACUAACCCCUGAAACGAGAAAUCAAAGAUUAUGGGGU